rnacentral:rRNA from 1 species
CCAGACUCCUACGGGAGGCAGCAGUGAGGAAUAUUGGUCAAUGGGCGUAAGCCUGAACCAGCCAAGUCGCGUGAGGGAUGACGGCCCUACGGGUUGUAAACCUCUUUUGCCGGGGAGCAACGGGCGUCACGUGUGGCGCCACUGAGAGUACCCGGAGAAAAAGCAUCGGCUAACUCCGUGCCAGCAGCCGCGGUAAUACGUAGGGGGCAAGCGUUAUCCGGAAUUACUGGGUGUAAAGGGUGAGUAGGCGGCACGGUAAGCCAGAUGUGAAAGCCUUGGGCUUAACCCGAGGAUUGCAUUUGGAACUAUCAAGCUAGAGUACAGGAGGGGAAAGCGGAAUUCCUAGUGUAGCGGUGAAAUGCGUAGAUAUUAGGAAGAACACCAGUGGCGAAGGCGGCUUUCUGGACUGAAACUGACGCUGAGGCACGAAAGCGUGGGGAGCGAACAGGAUUAGAUACCCGAGUA